GGGGCGGGGAGGGAGGAGAAGCCGGCGAGAGAAGGUUACAGAGCACAGUUAAACACGGACCGAUGUUUGAAAAACAAACGAGACUUACCAGCUCAUUAUGUGGGUCAGAAGGUGCAAGUGAUGCAAGUGGAAUGAGAGAGAUCAAGAGGAAGGCAGCAGAAGACGAGGUGGAGGGAGCGAUGCGGUGCGAUGGGACCACGGUGGCCCGAGGAGCGGAAAGGGAGAUGGCGCAGGACAGGGCAGCGUGGAGAAGUUUGGCAAGGACAGCGGACCCCACGUGAGUGGGACAAACGCGUGGAAGAAGAAGACUUAUCAGCUCAAGUGGUUCACCGUUGCUUGACGUGGAAACGCACUGCAAAUGAACAAGCCACGUAACGUUCACCCCCUCCCCCCACCUCCUCGCCACGAAACCACAAGGAGACAACGAAUUGUCACAAUUCAAGGUAGAAAUUGGGAGUAAAGAUUAUAUUCCCUUUGUAUAUGUAUGCCACGGCGAUCACAAACCUUAUAUUUAUGUCCCGUUUGCACAAUUGGAUUUGUCCCGUCUGCCUAAAUAUUAAUGGUAGAAUAUUAUUUGCAAUUCAAUGAGUGUAUCGUGACAAUAAGAAUCGAUGAGAAUUGAUGAAUCUAUGACAUCACUGCCUCUGGAGGGUGGAGGGGAAGGCAGCGCAGAGCAUGCAGGGCAAGAGAAACGACGUUAAGCCUGCUGGCUGAUUGGCCCAGUGGUUCGGACGAUUUGGCUGAUUAGUCCAGUGGUUCCGACGUUUUUAUCACUUAAGCAUUUUUCAAUUAAUUACUGGUUCAGUUCUAUGGGGGGUUUAACAAAGUGUGCCAUCUGCUAUGAAGUGUAUAUUAAAGACUCAAGUUAUGUCAUUCACGGCGUGAGGCCACCAUGUGCAGAUGCAAAGCGGUGUUGCCAAUACACGCUAAUGUUUACUCUGUUACAUUUGAUGCACGGGUAUCUACGUGCCCCUUUCUAAUGACUCCGAAUGGGAUCUCACCUGGUGAAACAAAGGGAAAGGAAUUGAAGACUGCUUUCAAACAUACAGCUCUGCCCACUUGUACAUCUGCUAAAUCGGGGAGCCAAUUUGUUCCAAUGUCACAGCAUUACCUCGUGUUACCAUUUUAAUAAGUGCUUUUAAAAUGAAUUCCGUGUCUGUGAGAACGAACAUACCCACAGCACUGUCCAGGAGCGCAACAUUAAUUAGUGACAUGCAUCUUGGAUUCGGCAUUAAGUAAAAAAAUAAAUGCUCUUUCAAAAAUACAAUAAAAAGCAAGCCAUCUGCACCAAUGUAUAAUUCUGUCAUAAGAUAUAUUCUCUUAGAACGAUAUUCUUCCCUCCCCGGAGGGCAUUUCCCCGUAAAUGUACGGGACGGCUUCAAUGGAUCGCGGUGGGCGGCUCAGUUACCACGUUGCCCCUCUCGGCUGCAGCCUUCUGGCGGAUCUUCAAUGCUUGUCUCCUCAGGGACUCGGCCUGCUCCAGCCUAGAAAUGUCACACGGCAGCAGAGAAAUCCCCCCCCCCCCCCCACCCCCGCACACUUUAGCGGUGGCGAAGCUGCGGCACCGUCACGUUUCCACACCAAGUGAGUGAAUCCAACCCGGCAGGUGGGAGCGGAAGUUGGAUGCGACCAGAGCGAGGUCCGUUGCGUCGCGUCACGUGUAACGUAAAGAGAGGAGCAGAGCGUCCGUGAGCAUCAUCAGGUCGUACGCGAGAAGGAAUAGAAUAAUCAGGCCUCAUGGCUGGUGGUGAUGGUGGAGGCUUUCAUCAGGCAUAGAUAUCUCUGGUUCUGAACCACCACUGCUCGCUCCACUUCAACCAAGCUGUACGGACCAGCAUGGGGGUGAGUUUGGGUUGUGAAGAACACCAACAGGUCGAGGGAGCUCUUCGUCCACCAGAGGCUUGAUAAAGGGCUGCACACAUUGUUUUAGUACUAGAUCCCCUACUCAGACAUUAUUCAUGUUAAAAAAAAAAAAAUGAAAUCCUCAUCGUAACAAAAAUGUUUUACAUUGUUUCUGGUUUAUGUUGUUACAUAUUGUUUCUGUCAUGUGUUUACAUUUUGAAUAUUUCUUUUUACUCAGGGACGUAAUUUUUUCGGCUUAUUUAUUUUAACCAAGGUCUCCCUUGAAAUAGAAACUCCUGGACUCACCAGGCUCUUGCUUGGUUUAAAUAAAGGCCAUCAAUCACUAAAGCAAAA